UACGUAGGGGGCAAGCGUUGUCCGGAAUCAUUGGGCGUAAAGAGCGUGUAGGCGGUUCGGUAAGUCGGCUGUGAAAGUCCAGGGCUCAACCCUGGGAUGCCGGUCGAUACUGCCGGACUAGAGUUCGGAAGAGGCGAGUGGAAUUCCCGGUGUAGCGGUGAAAUGCGCAGAUAUCGGGAGGAACACCUAUGGCGAAGGCAGCUCGCUGGGACGUUACUGACGCUGAGGAGCGAAAGCGUGGGUAGCAAACAGG
rnacentral:rRNA from 1 species